rnacentral:rRNA from 1 species
UUAAGUUAUUAAGGGCGCACGGUGGAUGCCUUGGCACUAGAAGCCGAUGAAGGACGUUACUAACGACGAUAUGCUUUGGGGAGCUGUAAGUAAGCUUUGAUCCAGAGAUUUCCGAAUGGGGAAACCCAGCAUGAGUUAUGUCAUGUUAUCGAUAUGUGAAUACAUAGCAUAUCAGAAGGCACACCCGGAGAACUGAAACAUCUUAGUACCCGGAGGAAGAGAAAGAAAAUUCGAUUCCCUUAGUAGCGGCGAGCGAAACGGGAAGAGCCCAAACCAACAAGCUUGCUUGUUGGGGUUGUAGGACACUCUAUACGGAGUUACAAAGGACGACAUUAGACGAAUCAUCUGGAAAGAUGAAUCAAAGAAGGUAAUAAUCCUGUAGUCGAAAAUGUUGUCUCUCUUGAGUGGAUCCUGAGUACGACGGAGCACGUGAAAUUCCGUCGGAAUCUGGGAGGACCAUCUCCUAAGGCUAAAUACUCUCUAGUGACCGAUAGUGAACCAGUACCGUGAGGGAAAGGUGAAAAGCACCCCGGAAGGGGAGUGAAAUAGAACCUGAAACCGUGUGCUUACAAGUAGUCAGAGCCCGUUAAUGGGUGAUGGCGUGCCUUUUGUAGAAUGAACCGGCGAGUUACGAUUUGAUGCAAGGUUAAGCAGUAAAUGUGGAGCCGUAGCGAAAGCGAGUCUGAAUAGGGCGUUUAGUAUUUGGUCGUAGACCCGAAACCAGGUGAUCUACCCUUGGUCAGGUUGAAGUUCAGGUAACACUGAAUGGAGGACCGAACCGACUUACGUUGAAAAGUGAGCGGAUGAACUGAGGGUAGCGGAGAAAUUCCAAUCGAACCUGGAGAUAGCUGGUUCUCUCCGAAAUAGCUUUAGGGCUAGCCUCAAGUGAUGAUUAUUGGAGGUAGAGCACUGUUUGGACGAGGGGCCCCUCUCGGGUUACCGAAUUCAGACAAACUCCGAAUGCCAAUUAAUUUAACUUGGGAGUCAGAACAUGGGUGAUAAGGUCCGUGUUCGAAAGGGAAACAGCCCAGACCACCAGCUAAGGUCCCAAAAUAUAUGUUAAGUGGAAAAGGAUGUGGCGUUGCCCAGACAACUAGGAUGUUGGCUUAGAAGCAGCCAUCAUUUAAAGAGUGCGUAAUAGCUCACUAGUCGAGUGACACUGCGCCGAAAAUGUACCGGGGCUAAACAUAUUACCGAAGCUGUGGAUUGUCCUUUGGACAAUGGUAGGAGAGCGUUCUAAGGGCGUUGAAGCAUGAUCGUAAGGACAUGUGGAGCGCUUAGAAGUGAGAAUGCCGGUGUGAGUAGCGAAAGACGGGUGAGAAUCCCGUCCACCGAUUGACUAAGGUUUCCAGAGGAAGGCUCGUCCGCUCUGGGUUAGUCGGGUCCUAAGCUGAGGCCGACAGGCGUAGGCGAUGGAUAACAGGUUGAUAUUCCUGUACCACCUAUAAUCGUUUUAAUCGAUGGGGGGACGCAGUAGGAUAGGCGAAGCGUGCGAUUGGAUUGCACGUCUAAGCAGUAAGGCUGAGUAUUAGGCAAAUCCGGUACUCGUUAAGGCUGAGCUGUGAUGGGGAGAAGACAUUGUGUCUUCGAGUCGUUGAUUUCACACUGCCGAGAAAAGCCUCUAGAUAGAAAAUAGGUGCCCGUACCGCAAACCGACACAGGUAGUCAAGAUGAGAAUUCUAAGGUGAGCGAGCGAACUCUCGUUAAGGAACUCGGCAAAAUGACCCCGUAACUUCGGGAGAAGGGGUGCUCUUUAGGGUUAACGUCCAGAAGAGCCGCAGUGAAUAGGCCCAAGCGACUGUUUAUCAAAAACACAGGUCUCUGCUAAACCGUAAGGUGAUGUAUAGGGGCUGACGCCUGCCCGGUGCUGGAAGGUUAAGAGGAGUGGUUAGCUUCUGCGAAGCUACGAAUCGAAGCCCCAGUAAACGGCGGCCGUAACUAUAACGGUCCUAAGGUAGCGAAAUUCCUUGUCGGGUAAGUUCCGACCCGCACGAAAGGCGUAACGAUUUGGGCACUGUCUCAACGAGAGACUCGGUGAAAUCAUAGUACCUGUGAAGAUGCAGGUUACCCGCGACAGGACGGAAAGACCCCGUGGAGCUUUACUGUAGCCUGAUAUUGAAAUUCGGCACAGCUUGUACAGGAUAGGUAGGAGCCUUUGAAACGUGAGCGCUAGCUUACGUGGAGGCGCUGGUGGGAUACUACCCUAGCUGUGUUGGCUUUCUAACCCGCACCACUUAUCGUGGUGGGAGACAGUGUCAGGCGGGCAGUUUGACUGGGGCGGUCGCCUCCUAAAAGGUAACGGAGGCGCUCAAAGGUUCCCUCAGAAUGGUUGGAAAUCAUUCAUAGAGUGUAAAGGCAUAAGGGAGCUUGACUGCGAGACCUACAAGUCGAGCAGGGUCGAAAGACGGACUUAGUGAUCCGGUGGUUCCGCAUGGAAGGGCCAUCGCUCAACGGAUAAAAGCUACCCCGGGGAUAACAGGCUUAUCUCCCCCAAGAGUUCACAUCGACGGGGAGGUUUGGCACCUCGAUGUCGGCUCAUCGCAUCCUGGGGCUGUAGUCGGUCCCAAGGGUUGGGCUGUUCGCCCAUUAAAGCGGUACGCGAGCUGGGUUCAGAACGUCGUGAGACAGUUCGGUCCCUAUCCGUCGUGGGCGUAGGAAAUUUGAGAGGAGCUGUCCUUAGUACGAGAGGACCGGGAUGGACAUACCUCUGGUGUACCAGUUGUCGUGCCAACGGCAUAGCUGGGUAGCUAUGUGUGGACGGGAUAAGUGCUGAAAGCAUCUAAGCAUGAAGCCCCCCUCAAGAUGAGAUUUCCCAACUUCGGUUAUAAGAUCCCUCAAAGAUGAUGAGGUUAAUAGGUUCGAGGUGGAAGCAUGGUGACAUGUGGAGCUGACGAAUACUAAUCGAUCGAAGACUUAAUCAA